rnacentral:rRNA from 1 species
UACGUAGGGGGCAAGCGUUGUCCGGAAUCAUUGGGCGUAAAGAGCAUGUAGGCGGCCAUACAGGUCCGUUGUGAAAACUCGAGGCUCAACCUCGAGACGUCGAUGGAAACCGUAUGGCUAGAGUCCGGAAGAGGAGAGUGGAAUUCCUGGUGUAGCGGUGAAAUGCGCAGAUAUCAGGAAGAACACCCGUGGCGAAGGCGGCUCUCUGGGACGGUACUGACGCUGAGACGCGAAAGCGUGGGGAGCGAACAGG